UAAAAGGGUGCUUGCCUUUGUACGCUUGUAUGGCACAUCUGUGCGGCGCCUAGCUGGUUGAGUCCAGCGAGAUGUCCGUCCCGGUGGGGUAUGGCUAUCAUGACAUAUCCAGCACGUAAUUUUUGUCCCCAGGAAGGCUGUUGAUUCGCUCUACUUCAGCGUCGACGCCUUC
rnacentral:snRNA from 1 species